rnacentral:rRNA from 1 species
GCCAAUGGAGAUUACUCCACUAAAUCGGCCUACGAGGCCCGAUUUGUGGGGCGAGAGGUGGAGCCGACGGCAGAAUUCACGUGGAGAUCAAAGGCCCCGCUUCGCUGCCGCUUCUUACUCUGGCUAGCGAUGCGCAACAGGUGUUGGACUUCGGACAGGCUCGCGCGGCGAGGAUUAGACCACCAGGACGCAUGCCCCUUCCGCGACCAACACGAGGAGACGCUUGAUCAUCUUCUUUUGGGCUGUGUCUUCGCGAGAGAAGUUUGGCGUGUCAUUUGUGGAGCUCUAGGUAGGCCACAGUGGGCGCUGAACCCGGACUCGAGGCUGCGGGACUGGGGCGCCGUCACGGAUACUACGGGACGGGAGGCGAAGGAUACACACGCUUUCCUACUGCUCGUGCUAUGGGAAAUUUGGAAGCACCCAAACGCAAUUGUCUUCGAUGGCGCCUCCGCCUCUUCGAACGCGCUAGCGGGCCGAAUCGACACUGAAGGGCGCGCAUGGAAGAGCGCCGGCAUCUUCAAAGGCAUCGUAGAAACUACUAUGGAGGGUUUAGUUAGGUGGGCCGAGGGGAGAAGUUAG